UACGUAGGGGGCUAGCGUUGUCCGGAAUCAUUGGGCGUAAAGAGCGUGUAGGCGGUCCGGUAAGUCCGCUGUGAAAGUCGGGGGCUCAACCCUCGAAUGCCGGUGGAUACUGUCGGGCUAGAGUGCGGAAGAGGCGAGUGGAAUUCCUGGUGUAGCGGUGAAAUGCGCAGAUAUCAGGAGGAACACCAGUGGCGAAGGCGACUUUCUGGCCUGUUCUUGACGCUGAGGCGACGAAAGCUAGGGGGAGCAAACAGG
rnacentral:rRNA from 1 species